rnacentral:rRNA from 1 species
UACGUAGGGGCGAGCGUUGUCCGGAAUGAUUGGGCGUAAAGGGCGCGUAGGCGGCUUAGCAAGUCUGGAGUGAAAGUCCUAUUUUCAAGGUAGGAAUUGCUUUGGAAACUGUUGAGCUUGAGUGCAGGAGAGGUUAUCGGAAUUCCCGGUGUAGCGGUGAAAUGCGUAGAGAUCGGGAGGAACACCAGUGGCGAAGGCGGGUAACUGGACUGCAACUGACGCUGAGGCGCGAAAGUGUGGGGAGCAAACAGGAUUAGAUACCCUGGUAGUCCCU